UACAGAGGUCUCAAGCGUUGUUCGGAUUCACUGGGCGUAAAGGGUGCGCAGGCGGUUGGGUGUGUCAGAUGUGAAAUCCCGAGGCUUAACCUCGGAACUGCGUCUGAAACUACUCGACUAGAGUACUGGAGAGGGAAACGGAAUUCACGGUGUAGCAGUGAAAUGCGUAGAUAUCGUGAGGAACACCAGAGGCGAAGGCGGUUACCUGGACAGUUACUGACGCUCAGGCACGAAAGCAUGGGGAGCAAAAGGG
rnacentral:rRNA from 1 species